UACGUAGGGGGCCAGCGUUGCUCGGAAUUACUGGGCGUAAAGGGUUCGUAGGCGGUGCGGCAAGUUGGGAGUGAAAUCUCCGGGCUUAACCCAGAGGCUGCUUUCAAAACUGCCGUGCUCGAGUGCGGGAGAGGCCAGUGGAAUUGCAGGUGUAGCGGUGAAAUGCGUAGAUAUCUGCAGGAACACCCAUGGCGAAGGCGACUGGCUGGACCGCAACUGACGCUGAGGAACGAAAGCUAGGGGAGCAAACAGG
rnacentral:rRNA from 1 species